ACCUAAAUCCAUUCUUUUGCAUAUCAUCAGCCUCCAUCUUCAUCAUUUCCUCUUUCUUUCUUGAACCGCCGUAAACAACCACGGCAACCACCACCACUUGCAGCCCGUUUGACACCCUCCGAACCACCUUCACAUUGCCAGAGUUCAGUCGCAGUCACCGGGAAACCCGCAAGACGCCGCAACCAUCGGAGACCGGGAAGACGACGGAGAUACCCUCGUCGGAAAGACUCGAAGUCCUGGAAACCUUCGUUCUUUCACUGUUUCGGAUAAUCACUCCCGUUCGUUCUCUUGGAAUUACUCAAUCUUUACUCGUUCGUUAUUUCAAGGGAUCUUCAAAUGCAACUAUUGUUGAUGAUGAUGAAAUGAAAACGGAUAGCAAAGAUGCCUA